CCUGAGAAACCCGAAAGAUCGAAUGGGGAGAUUCAUCGUCAGCGAUUCUGGUACGUGUGCGGUUCGCGAUGCCGGUGGCCUCGGUCUCAUGGCACGCGUCCGCAUGUUUUUUAUUGCCUGAAUCGUCGGCGUGCACUUCUCCCCUAGUAGGACGUCGCGACCCGUUGGAUGUCGGUCUACGGCCCGGGCGGUAGCCUGUCAUGUGUGCGCUUCGCGGCGUUACGCUUGGCAGACCCCUGUGUGUCUGGCCGGCUGUCCGGCGGUACUCGCACGGUAUCUGGCCGCAAAUAUUCGAACUGCGUCCGGCCCGUCGCAAGCGAGGCAAGUGUUCCCGGCUGUACGGAUCUAAUGCCGUCACCGGGCCUUGCCAGCUGUUGGUUGACGGUGUCCUAGGACUGGCUAUUUUAUUAUGAUACCGGUCGGCGACGCUACUGCUUUGGGUACUUUCAGGACCCGUCUUGAAACACGGACCAAGGAGUCUAACAUGUGCGCGAGUCAUUGGGAACUAUUAAGCCUAAAGGCGCAAUGAAAGUGAAGGUCGGCCUUGCGCCGACCGAGGGAGGAUGGGCCGCGUCACGAUGCGGUCCCGCACUACCCGGGGCGUCUCGUUCUCAUUGCGAGAAGAGGCGCACCCAG
rnacentral:rRNA from 2 species